rnacentral:rRNA from 1 species
GAUGAACGCUGGCGGCAUGCCUAACACAUGCAAGUCGAUCGGUAAGGCUCUUCGGAGUACACGAGAGGCGGACGGCUGAGUAACGCGUAGGAACACACCCUGCAGUGAGGGAUAAGACACCGAAAGGUGUUCUAAUACCGCAUACGGUCUUCGGAUUAAAGCAUUUAUGCGCUGAAGGAGUGGCCUGCGUCAUAUUAGAUAGUUGGUGAGGUAAUGGCUCACCAAGUCGAUGAUGUGUAGCUGGUCUGAGAGGAUGAUCAGCCAGACUGGAACUGAGACACGGUCCAGACUCCUACGGGAGGCAGCAGUGAGGAAUAUUUCACAAUGAGCGAAAGCUUGAUGGAGCAAUGCCGCGUGCAGGAUGAAGGCCCUCGGGUCGUAAACUGCUUUUAUAAGAGAAGAUUAUGACGGUAACUUAUGAAUAAGGGACGGCUAACUACGUG